CCUACGGGGGACAGCAGUGAGGAAUAUUGGUCAAUGGACGCAAGUCUGAACCAGCCAUGCCGCGUGCAGGAUGACGGCUCUAUGAGUUGUAAACUGCUUUUGUACGGGGGUAAAUUACGAUACGUGUAGAGGGUUGAAAGUAUCGCACGAAUAAGGAUCGGCUAAUUCCGUGCCAGCAGCCGCGGUAAUACGGAGGGUUCAAGCGUUAUCCGGAUUUAUUGGGUUUAAAGGGUGCGUAGGCGGUUCGGUAAGUUAGAUGUGAAAUCCCGUGGCUCAACUCCGGCACUGCCUCUGGAACUGUCGGGCUAGAGUUUGGUUGCGGUAGGCGGAAUGUGUGGUGUAGCGGUGAAAUGCGUAGAGAUCAUGCAGAACACCGAUUGCGAAGGCAGCUUACCAAACUACGACUGACGUUGAGGCACGAAGGCGUGGGGAGCAAACAGGAUUAGAUACCCUAGUAGUC
rnacentral:rRNA from 1 species